CAGCGAAACGGCCCGCCUUGCGCGGGCCGUCGUCGGGGAGCGGCGUCCCCGGCCUGAUGAGCAAAGCCGG
rnacentral:hammerhead_ribozyme from 1 species